UACGUAGGGUGCAAGCGUUGUCCGGAAUUAUUGGGCGUAAAGGGCUCGUAGGCGGUCUGUCGCGUCUGCUGUGAAAACCCGGGGCUCAACCCCGGGCCUGCAUUCGAUACGGGCAGACUAGAGUUCGGUAGGGGAGUCUGGAAUUCCUGGUGUAGCGGUGAAAUGCGCAGAUAUCAGGAGGAACACCGGUGGCGAAGGCGGGACUCUGGGCCGAUACUGACGCUGAGGAGCGAAAGCGUGGGGAGCAAACAGG
rnacentral:rRNA from 1 species